CGGGCCGCACAAGCGGUGAGUAUGUGGUUUAAUUCGAUGCAACGCGAAGAACCUUACCUGGUCUUGACAUCCCGGAGACCCUUAGGAAACUAGGGGGUGCUUCCAUCUGGAAGAAUCUGGAGACAGGUGCUGCAUGGCUGUCGUCAGCUCGUGUCGUGAGAUGUUGGGUUAAGUCCCGCAACGAGCGCAACCCUUGCCUUUAGUUGCCAGCAGUUCGGCUGGGCACUCUAAAGGGACUGCCGGUGUUAAACCGGAGGAAGGUGGGGAUGACGUCAAGUCCUCAUGGCCUUUAUGACCAGGGCUACACACGUACUACAAUGGCCGAUACAAAGGGCAGCGACACUGCGAGGUGAAGCCAAUCCCGUAAAAUCGGUCUCAGUCCGGAUUGGAGUCUGCAACUCGACUCCAUGAAGUUGGAAUCGCUAGUAAUCGCGCAUCAGCCAUGGCGCGGUGAAUACGUUCCCGGGCCUU
rnacentral:rRNA from 1 species